CACCGGCUGGGCGGUGGCUUGUCUCCACCGGUUGGUCCACGCGUCACAUGAGAAUAGGCCCGCUCCAAAAUAUCUCCCGCAGCGAUGGUCGUGUGAGGCGAGAGAACCAAACCUAAUCCCCUCCCCAUUCGUUCCUCCCAGAUCCCUCCUGCUCGACCGCCGCCGCUCGCGCCCCGAUCAAAUUUUCCUCCUCCCAUCCCAUCACACAUCCUUAUUCUCCUGAUCUGAGCCGCGGCGAAAGUCGCCUGGAGAAGCACCGGCCGCCGCUCGCGACGUCGCGUCCCCAAGGUGCCAUCAAGGAUCCUCGCCUCCAGUCUUAGGGAGGAGCACAAGGCUGCCGAGAGGAGAGCGCAAGGGCAGCAGGGUGCCAUGGCUAGAGGAGGUAGAACUCGACAUGGGGAGCAGACGAUUGGACCGAUGGAGGGGUUCGGCCUCCAGUGUCAUCGCAGCUGCGUGCCCUCCUCCACUGCCGCCUCCUUCUGGCCGGCCGUCUACAAGGCAAUCACGCAUCCAAGGUUUCCCUCUCUGUGAGAAAACUGAAUCACUGAAUUCUCUAGUGAGCUUUGGGUGUCACAUUUUUGCUGCUGAUAGGUAUGAGAACCAGGAUGCAAAUGCUACAUCGCAACUUGUGUACCACGGUGUUCGCCCUCUUACUUGCUGACGCCCUUGGUGCAGGAGAGAUCUCACUGAUCUUCAUGAACAUGCUCAUGUCGCCAAUACAUUGCCUCCCCACCCGGUAAGCGUUGGAUGUUAACGUGGAGAGGGUGGACGAUGUGGAGGCACCCCAAUGUUCUUGGUUCUUCGAACUGAUUUGUGGUGAGAUCAUGAGAACACCAGAUGGCAUGCAUCAAUGAGGGCACACAUCGUUAAAUCUGAUAGCUGCAAACAAACAUCUGCUUAAUCUGAACCUUUUUUAGGCUUUUACAGUAGCAUAUUUCACAUGCUAAUAAAAUCGUUUGAAUAUGUUUCUUCUCAAGCCCAUCAGAUUUCGAAGUUGCAGAUUUCAGAUGUUCAAAGAUCAUGUCUCUUUAUGUAUCAGAUAUUUUGUAUGAUUGUAUCACAAGGUAGAGUGAUAACCACACACAAAGAAGGAAGUCUGACUUUGCAACUACUUUUUGUUGGUUAGGCUGCGUGGGUCCUAGAUGGUAAGCCUAGAGGUGGAAAGUCGAAGAUUUUGAUGGAAGGCUCAAAGAACGAUGAUGCCGGCACGGGGCCAAGGAGAUUAGAUUCUGGCUGUCUAAAUAUACUGUCUCUGCAUACGAUUCUACAUGGUUUAUGGUGCAAGUUCAUUGGUUUGAUUCUGAUACCCAGGUUUCAAGGGUCACUUCUGAUGUGUUCUUUUAUGUGUAGGAUUCCACUUUGAUUAUGUUUAUAUGGCUGGACCAUUCUUAAAUACCCUAGCCAUCACGGAUGACCAGUAGUAAAGUAGCAGUUGGUGAAUAUGUUUGUGGGUUUUGAAUUUGAGCUGAAAAGAAACACAUUUUGUAAUUCAAAUUAUAUUAUGUAAACAAAAGGAUGAGUAAAAGUUGUUCAUUAGAAUCAUAGGAAACUGAUUCCUUUUUGGGGGGGUUCGGUGUGUAUAGAGUUUCUUACCGAUUUGAAUCUGGAUGGUUGGACACUCUACAGGACUGAUGUGUCUGAAUUCGUUUUUUCGUGUUGGAAGUUCUUAACAGCUUCAACCAUUUAUUUUGUGUUGGGAUGAGGUAUAAGAUUCAGUACGGGAGGUCUGUUCAUUUCAACUAAAUUAAAAUUUUGGUUUCUACAAUAUCUACAGAGUUAUAGUUUUCUGCUUUGUUUUCUAGGCGAAUGAUUACAUGCAUUAAUGAAGUAGACUUAAUUAGGAGGAUUGACUCAAACUAGAAAAGUCUGCUGGUAUGUAUGAAUUUCAGUUGAUUGUAUUAAGCAUAUCAUCCCUAGCAACUCACAUCGCCACUAUUUCCAGGCUACCUUGCAACUUCUUAGUGAAGUAUAUUGUUUCUGGAAAUAUUUUUUUAUGCUACUCAAAAUCUGGCUUAAAAUGCUCCCAAUGACAACUGAAUGGUUGUAGUGUGCUAAUACCCAUGCCCUCACAUUCAGGUUUAUUCUCCAAUACCACAUUUUUUUUUGAAUAGGCUUCCCAAUCCAUAGAGCAUGAUUUCAAGAAAAUGAAUUUGAACCAAGAACCAACUGUGUAUCUGAUGCAGGGUAAGCAUGAUUGGAUGGUAUCAUUUUAUUCUAAGUUUCCUUCUAAAUUCGGCAGAACAAUAGUUAUAUAUGCUUUGUUAGCUUUUGUAAAACAUAUGGUUCUUGGUACUUGGUACUUGGUACUUGAUACUAUCUCGAUUCUCAUUUGUUCGAAGGAUGCUACAUGGAAUUAGGUGGAUGUCCCAGUUGUCAAUAUUGACAUAGUUGUGUACUGCUAUAUAGUCAUUUAGACAAUUUAUUCACCAUGAAAUACUGACUUAAUUUAUUUGUUUAAAACUGAACCUUUUAUGAAAUUUAUGGUAACAAUAUAUGUUUCUAGAUUGUUUGUCUUUUAUUGACAGCUUUUAAUUCUGUUUGAAACUUUGGGAUUCUGUAGACCAGGUUUGCUAAGUACGAACUAUGAAUCGAUAUUUGGCAGCUCCUAUUUUCGAGUUUUCAUCUUCUUUAUACCUGCCUUUCUAGGAGGUAUUGCUGUGUGACAGUUUCAGACAUUGAAGCGGCGCUGGCGGCGAUACAGAAAAUAUGAGAAGAUACAUCAUUGGGCGAGCCCUUGCUUCAACCACCAUGGGUCUAUGCUUGCUGUCAUCUCGGGACCUAGGUUAGCUGUUACAAUUUUUAUUAACCCAGGUCAAGAAUAAUCUCGCUUUUAACAAAGGUUUCUCAUUGUUGCCUUCAUCUCAUCAGCCAAGAUUCAUCUUGUGUUGGCAGUUCCUCAUUUUUAUUUGUAAGCCCUGAUAAGAACGUACAUGCUGAGAGCAAAUCGAGGAAAUUAACCAACUAACCUGCAAGAAAAACUCAUCUACCAGCAGUGAUCUUUAGAUGCCAGUGUGAUUGAGCUACCAUCAACGUGCAUUAUUUACAGACACUGCUGUGAGGAGCUAUUGGUGGUGUUACUGCCUUGGACUUCCCAUACAUAUUUUUGUCUUAAGAUACUCAAAAGGAAGGCAGCCGGAGAAUCAUGUUCCCUUCAUGCAUGUACCCAAGAAAUAGAGAAGCACAAAUAACCUACGAGGGUUAUAGCUAGAAGAUGAAUGCAUUUAGACCCAAGAACCUACGUGAUGUGGGCAAGUGAUGGUUCCAUCCAUGGAGGCAUGGAGCUUGAGAUCGUUGUUGUCCAGGAGGGAGCCGGGCUCACCCGGUUCUUUUUUUGGUCAACUAUGUCGUUCAGUACGCAAUCUCCGUGCGAGGAAUCAGCCAUGCAAGCUGCGCACUUAUUGCAGGGUUUGUAUGGAUUCAUGUUCACGACUAAAACUACGAGGGAAUGCAACCCUAUAGGAACCUUGCGCGGUGUGUUGUUGUUCUGGCGGUUUUUUAGUUUGGAUGAUUGUGUCUCGUAUUGGUUCUAUUGGCUAUGUAGAUCCUCUUAGUCGGCGUGCUAUCAGAUGAUAUGUUAUCUUUGCUAUAUGUCCUCUGUGCCUUGACUUUUAAAGACCAUGCUGCGGCUUUUGGUGUUCACUUGUUUUUGUUGCUCUCGGCAGAAUGAACAACCAUUAGUUGGUAUAAUAUAUUUUUCUUAUGU